rnacentral:lncRNA from 1 species
ACGUCGUUGAGCACCUCGGGAGUGUACUUGACCGAACGAACGGGGGUGCGCGACGGGGGCGACGCGCGGCCGUCGUCCCCGCUCGCCGGCGGAACGCGGGAGAGCAGCCGCGACGACACGUAACUCGCCUCCACCGUGUACAGGUGCGGCAGUCCCGUCUUGGCGUGUAACGCCACCCGACCGCUCCCUUCCUUGGUCUGACCGUUCUUGUCCUGCGUCCUCAUGUUCUUCUCGGUGAAGUUGCACGCGUGCACGUCGAAGUGCGGGGUGUUGAGCGAGCACAGCCUGGCGUACGCAAAGCCGGCGGCGGCGUCGUCGCCGUCGAGAGCGUUGCCAAACGCGAAAACACCUCUCUUGUUCAUGUGCCCGUGCAGGUCCAAGUAAAAACC